AAGACUAUAGACCUGCGGAGUACCUGCGGAGGGAUCAUUAACGAGUGUAACUUACCUUUUUUUUUAAAAGAGGGUAGUACCUCCCGUCCUUUGUAGGCCCCUUUUUAUUAGGGGGCUUUUUAAGACUUUCUGCUUCGGCGGGGUUAUUCCCGCCGGAACACCCUCAAAAAACUCUUCAAAAAAAACUAAUUUCAGUCCGAGAAUUUUUGAAAAUAAAAAAAACUUUCAACAAUGGAUCUC
rnacentral:misc_RNA from 1 species